ACUGGAAUUGGAGUCAAAA
rnacentral:miRNA from 3 species